rnacentral:pre_miRNA from 1 species
CAACCUCUGCAGGAUGGCCGGCCCACAGGCUGGGUUGGGCAGGUAUCUCUUCGAAAGGCUCAUUCUCAAGCACAACUAAGAGC